rnacentral:rRNA from 1 species
AGCGAACGCUGGCGGCAGGCUUAACACAUGCAAGUCGAGCGGGCACCUUCGGGUGUCAGCGGCAGACGGGUGAGUAACACGUGGGAACGUACCCUUCGGUUCGGAAUAACGCUGGGAAACUAGCGCUAAUACCGGAUACGCCCUUAUGGGGAAAGGUUUACUGCCGAAGGAUCGGCCCGCGUCUGAUUAGCUAGUUGGUGGGGUAACGGCCUACCAAGGCGACGAUCAGUAGCUGGUCUGAGAGGAUGAUCAGCCACACUGGGACUGAGACACGGCCCAGACUCCUACGGGAGGCAGCAGUGGGGAAUAUUGGGCAAUGGGCGCAAGCCUGAUCCAGCCAUGCCGCGUGAGUGAUGAAGGCCUUAGGGUUGUAAAGCUCUUUUGUCCGGGACGAUAAUGACGGUACCGGAAGAAUAAGCCCCGGCUAACUUCGUG